AGCAUCAUAAACAGGUUUUACAUGUUUUGUUUUUUUUUACAAAAAAAAUGAAAGAAACAUUUAAAUAACAAAGUUAGCAUGAUACACAGUAGCAUGUAAGUCUGUCCUCGGGAGUAAAAUUCCUUUGCUUUCAUUUGAGUCUGUAUCACAAGAUGUUCUGUAAUUUUACUCCAUUGUUCCAGUGCCUUGAUUGAUUCAUUAAAUAUCCUCAUUCGCCAUCUUUAAGUUGUAAAUCCAUAUUAAAACUGUAGAGAAGGAAUUCCUUUUUAAAUGUAAUAUUUCUUUUUCUCGUGUUGUAGUACAGUAAAAUGUUGCAAUUUAUUGCCAUCUUCAUUGAAUUUUUAACAAAUAUCAUUUAGUAAACAAUAAAAUCAAAGAUGGAACCACCCGAUCUAAAAUGGCUGCUCCCUUAACCAAAGCCAUCUUUUAAUACUAUUAAAGUAAUAGUUAUUUUUAUGAGAUUUGAAAAUGUAUUUUUAAUUUACACUCUGUGAUUUUUAAUACAUAUUCUAUUUGUUAAUUAUGUUUAUUUGAUUAUAAACUUUGCUCUAAAUAGAUACAACAGAUUAACAGAUAAGUACUCUGGACUAUAACUGCUGCGUUAUUUGAUUGUAACAGAUUUCUAUAUGCGCAGUUCUGUUUUAUGUUUAGCAAGAAAAAAGAAAUACAGCCAGAUGAAAUUAAAAAUAAUAGAAAAUAUUACUAAACUGCACAAACAAUUAGUAAAUCAAUCAUACUGGGAGGUUAAUAAUAUGAAAUGAUUCUUCAUAGCAAUGUACAACAGCAGAUUUACCAUUUGACAAAGAAGUGACUAGAUUUUCAAAUAAAGAAAAUGGCAUUUCUAAAUAAUGAAUCCAAUAUAUAGAUUAUCAAUGGGGUCCAAAAUAUGAUUGACUGCUUUGCAUGUUUUAAAAAGCUAGUACAAUUGCAUUUCAAUUAUUAAAUGUAAUGCCUUACAAGUUAUUACAACACACAGUCCCAAAGAAUGAUCAACAUACCUUAGCUUAUUUUGGAAGAGUUAAUCAAUUUUACAACUGGUUUGUCUAGACUAUAAAGUGCAUUAUUGGAUGAGAUAUUUAUUUAUGGUAAGAUUCAUCAAUGUCUUCAUGGAUAACACCUUCGAACUCCUAUGUGGUGUGUUGGAAAUAUGAUUAAUAUUUAAUAUGACUGAUAUGUAUGUAUUUUUUAAAUAAAGUACUUUAUGGGUCUGGACUGUCCCUAUAACAUACAUAACUGAGCCUGUUCAAAAUUGGUGAGAAUUAUGCUCUUGGGCAAAAUCUAUUAUUUGCAGUUGCUGUCCUUAAAGAGUCACCAAAGAUACCCAGACCACUUUAUCGAUGUGGCCCUUUAGGUUUAACCCUGCAAUUGUAGAAACUUUAAUUGCAGGAUGAAACACACUAAUAGUGAUUAUCUUCCUGACUGCCUCUAGAGGGGCUUCCCUGUGAGAACCAAGUCAGACUCACUUCUUCAAUCAAAUGCUACUCGUAUAGAAACAUUUAAAUGUUGCAGCAUGGAAAUUUCCUGUGCAUGUGCACAAGCCUCCAAACGCUUGCCUAUGGGGAAGCACUGGAUUGGCUGAGAUCAUCAAUAUUGAUGCUCUCAAUCAGGAAGGUGAAGCAGCCUUGCCAAAACCAGUCCAUCAAGGGAAGAAAGGUAAGUAGAAUUCUAAUGGGGGGGAAGGUGGACCUAUAUAGGUAGAGGAACACUAUAACUUUAGGGAUACAUGUUUGUAUUCCUAAUGCCUUAGUAUUCCUUUAAUUCAGUCUAUUUGCAGUUAUGACAUGUAGAAAGGAGGAUGGACAGAUAAUAUGAUUGUCUCUCACACCUUCAUUCAUCCAUUUAUAUCACAGGAGAGGGCUUGAAUUAAUGGUGGAAGCAAUCUGGGGCAGGCCGAGAUAUGUAGGUUUUGGUAUUUACCUGAGAUUAGGGACCGUUACAUUGCCGGUGUCAGUCACAUCAAGCAAUAUGAUUUUUAUUGCACAUUUGACAUAUAUCUACAAAGAGGAAAUCAGUUAUCAUUGCAUCCUUCUUUGAUAUGUUUAUUCUUUUUUAGAAACGGUCAUCCUUUAUUUUUGGUCAGCCAAUCUCUUCAACCAAGUUAACUAUCUGAAAAGUCAAAAUAAUCCCUAUUAUAAAUCUGAAGCACAUCCAGUGUAGAUGCAACUGAAGAUAUGGUGACUUAGACAAUCAGUACAAUGUCUGUCGUGUACAGACCAAAGUGAAUGAAAUUAAGACUCUUUUAAAGACUGCCUUUUCAUUUUUGUUCUGGACCACCUAUUGUUCCGUACAAUUUGCUUGUUUGUUUGAUUAAUUUUUUUUGUGAGUUGUUAGGGCUCACAGCAUGGGCAUUCUGCCAUUUUUCAAUUAUAAAAAAACAUGCAGACUUAUAGGUUGCAUUAUAGGUAUUGAUUGCAGCCCAUUACGCACACAUAGUUUUUGGAGCUCAUUUUCAAUGUGCAUAUAUUAUGAGAUAAAAGGAAGGUGUGUAAUUUAUUCAGAUACCCAGACAGAGAAUAUUGCCGCAUUCCUUAGAAUUGCGGCAGAAUGUUGAAAAUAGGUGAUGGGUAGCAAAAGGAACAUUACUGCAUCAUCUAUGCCAUAUAGUUUAUCUAUAAAUGUAAAGCCUAGUUGUGAACCAGAGAGUCAAAGAUAUAGGGCAAUCACCCUGCAAACUAUUUGGGGAGCACUAGAGAUUAACUAAUGCUGGGCAAGUUGUAAGGCCUAGUGUAAGGCUAUAGGCAUUUCAUCCAACUAUUCUCCACUAUGGUUCUGAGAUAUUCCCUACACUAAUGAAUUUUCACUUAUAUCCUCAGAGAAUUUCAUCAUAUUUAAAGUAAAGUUAUUUCUUCCAAGUGCAUAUGUGUGAGGUAUAUAACAGGCAUACAUGAAUAGUCUUAAUUGGCUUUUAAAUAGAUUGUAUCACACCACAGGGAUCUAGAGGCUUGGAGAGAAGGAAUGUACAAAGAGAUUGCUGUCUGCAUGUUAUAGAAACCUGCGUUUGUCAUAUGAAAUGAAGGUAACUGAUGUACAGUAGAAUGCUGGUUCUAAUUGUAGCUAUAUAAAGUAAGAGGAGCAAUUUGAUCAAUUUAAUAGCUAGAGCCUAAUCUGUUUAUUGAGUUGGAAUCUAUAAUGCAUUUUCCUCAUUAGUAAUAAAAGAGUUAAAUGCUAGUGCUUUAUCUUUUAUCUAUUCCAUACAUCUUCUGUCUUAUUUGCAGAGAUUGUCUUUGUAUGAACUUGUUCCUUCUUCUGUUUUCACACAGACACUAGCGAUCACAAGCAUACACACACACUAUCUAUCUAUCUAUCUAUCUAUCUAUCUAACUAUCUACCUUCCUACCUGCCUGAAUGUGUGACAUUAAAUGUUUAUGAAGUAGCUGACUGCAGUGAAGUUAACUGCAAAUGUAGACGUGCCUCUGCUCAGUUUCUCAUUUUGAAUAUGUUUUCAUUCAUCCCUUUACAAAUACACUUAUAUUCAACCAUGACUUUUUGGAUCUUUUUAAAGGAUGGAUGUAAUGUUUCUGUAUCCAUUUGACUGUCUAAAGAUUGUACAAUACAUUUAGGGUACCACAAUCAAUGGCAUAUCUAUAAUGUAACGUUGUAUUUUCUGAAGAUUGGGAAUACAAUUAAUUUAACUCUACAAUUUUUGCAUCCUUCCAACUGUUUGCGUUGACUACCAGACAGAAUACGUACAAAUAUAAUUUGCAGCACUUGGAAAGAAGGCAAAUGGUAAUUUAUACAACACCACUGGCUAACACAUUGUAGCUGUGAUUGUGUUUUGUAUUUGUUUAAUGACUUUCACAAUCUCCAAUGAGGGCAUAAUCUAACCUAUAGAUUUGUUAAAUAUUUCACUUCCAACAUGUAAAUAAUACAUUAGAAUCAAUUUAUCAUUUGGUGCAGAAUUCAUUGUUUUACCUAAAUUUGGGUGACAGGACAAAGUUGUAUCAAAAGCUAUGUGACAAAACAUUUUGGUGGAAUUAAUGGUAUUCUGUCUUUACGUUGUCACUUGAUAUGGGCAAGGACCUGACCACCUACAAAUAUGUUACUUAGUGGUAAGAAUAAAAUCAUCAGAUUAAGACCUAUGUGGAUGAGAGAGGUGUAAAACACAAAGCAGUACUAUUACUAAAUGCCAAUUUAACAAUGCAUAGUGUAGAGAAAAAAAAUAAAAUAAAUAAAAAUAGGAAGAGUUGACAUCCUCUAUGUUAUUCGGUGGAUCCGAUUCACUAGGUUUUAAACUAUCUAUUUUAUUUUUUGCAAACUCUUUCCAGUACUUUCUCUCUAGAUUUAAAUAGAAUAAUAUAACAGGAGGAACAAACAAGUGGCCAUUAAAGCACUAGGGCAAUGUAGCAAUACUUGCCACUACAAAUGAAUUAAGGCCCCCUCAAAAAAAAGUCUAGACAACUAACAGAUUAACUAUUGCGAGAUACAAGGAAUCAAAGUCCAACAGAAUAUAUAGCAUCCGUUAGAAGAGUGCAAACCAUGUUUAGAAAAUCAUUGAAAGUGGAACGCUCUAAAAUCAAAGUAUAGCUUGACCCAAUUUAGAGGCCCAAUUAGAAACUGGUUCAGUCUGAGGACAGGGGUACUCUUUGGGAGGUUGAUAGCAACAGGUUUAUAUGAAAGGUUCAACUUGAAUGACUUAAGUCUGUUUUCCAACCUAUUUUAUUGUAUUACUGGAGUAAAUGUUGUCCAAUAAGAAAAAAAUAAUAAUAA
rnacentral:lncRNA from 1 species